CCCUAUCCUUUCAGUAUUCUCUUCUCAGAUCAAAAAAGAAAAAAAAAGCCCUUUCGUCUUCUCACUCCGUCUCUUUCGCUCCCAGUCAUCUCUCUGUGUCUGGCAGCCCUAACACCACCAGUGUGGGAAGAGUUCCAGUAACGGCGGAGACUUCCCACUGGUUCUCCCUCCGGCAUCAAUUGACAGGACAAAAUAUUAUCUAUUGGCAUCCUUUGUUCUACACAUAAAGCAUAAUGAGUCCAAGGAUUCCGCUGUAAGCCCAAGAAUUUUGCUGUCUGGUCCUGCUGGUUCUGAGAUAUAUCAGGAGAAGUUAUCAAAGGCACUUGAUCAUCACUUCAGGGCUAAAUUGCUUGUAUUUCGUAGCCGCUUGUAUCUAUCUUGUUCAUUUACAAUGGGGCCAAAGCAAAUACUUGAGGUGGUAUUGGCCAAGAAGUACGCCUUCUAGUUGUUCAAUAUAUUCAGGGCAUAGUCCCUUCAGUUGGAAAAGGGGAUAUGCUACACUCUUCAAAUGCAGCUUUACGUGUUCCAUUGUCCAAAAAAAACUAAGAGUCGAUGUUUCAAAAGUGGUGACAGAGUAAUAUUUGUGGGUUUCAAUUUUACCAGCUUAUGUUCGACGGUUUCUGUCAGGUACAAUUUACAAGACUUAUUUUUCCCCUGAUACCACAUCUGUUAUUGCAAUUAUAUACUCAUUCUUUUGUUCUCAAAAAACAUUCAUAUGCCUAGAUAGCAGGACUUCAUUAGAUGUUGUGGCUUUGAUAGAGCCAUCCAAAUAUAAUGGGUGGUUCUCAAACAUGUGAAGACUCAAAUGUAGCAUCGCAGGAUUGAGUGCCAUGCGACAUAUAACUUGUUGCCAAUGCUGAAGGAAGACUACCUGAUGCACAAGUUCUUUCCUUGAUCCAUGCCUCCAAUCAUUUUUGUUCAUUCAUCCAGCUUUAGUAACCCAACCAAUGGAAAAGAAUAGGAAUAGUCAGCAGAUUGGUGAACAAAAAAAAAA